rnacentral:rRNA from 1 species
AUUGAACGCUGGCGGCAUGCCUUACACAUGCAGGUCGAACGGCAUCGCGGGAAAGCUUGCUUUCCUGGCGGCGAGUGGCGAACGGGUGAGUAACACAUCGGAACGUACCGGCUAGUGGGGGAUAACCCGUCGAAAGACGGGCUAAUACCGCAUACGCUCUUCGGAGGAAAGCAGGGGACCUUUGGGCCUUGCGCUAGCCGAGCGGCCGAUGUCCGAUUAGCUAGUUGGUGGGGUAAAGGCCUACCAAGGCGACGAUCGGUAGCGGGUCUGAGAGGACGAUCGGCCACACGGGAACUGAGACAGGGCCCAGCCUCCUAGGGGAGGCAGCAGGGGGGAAUCUGGAACAAUGGGGGCAACCCUGAUCCAGAAAGGCCGCGGGGGGAAGGAAGGCUUCCGGGUUGUAAAGCCCUUUCGGCGGGAAAGAAAUCGGCGGGGCGAAUAACCCUGCGGGAUGACGGUACCGGCAGAGGAAGCACCGCUAACUACGUG